AGGCGUGUAGCUCAAUGGUAGAGCGCUGCUAUUACAUGGCAGAGGUUGGGGGUUCGAUUCCUUCCGCGCCUA
rfam:Rhodospirillales bacterium 70-18 SCNpilot_cont_750_bf_scaffold_29, whole genome shotgun sequence.